rnacentral:rRNA from 1 species
GAUGAACGCUAGCGACAGGCUUAACACAUGCAAGUCGAGGGGCAGCGAGGGAGUGCUUGCACUUCUGUCGGCGACCGGCGCACGGGUGAGUAACACGUAUGCAACCUGCCCUUGUCAGGGGGAUAAGCGAGGGAAACCUCGUCUAAUACCGCAUAUAUGGUUUUGAGGCAUCUCUUAAUCAGGAAAGAAUUAUCGGACAAGGAUGGGCAUGCGGGACAUUAGGUAGUUGGGGGUGUAACGGACCACCAAGCCGACGAUGUCUAGGGGUUCUGAGAGGAAGGUCCCCCACACUGGUACUGAGACACGGACCAGACUCCUACGGGAGGCAGCAGUGAGGAAUAUUGGUCAAUGGGCGAGAGCCUGAACCAGCCAAGUCGCGUGAGGGAAGACGGUACUAAGUAUUGUAAACCUCUUUUGUCAGGGAACAAAGAGACCACGCGUGGUAAGAUGAGUGUACCUGAAGAAAAAGCAUCGGCUAACUCCGUG